AUGCUGAUGAUCAGUCAACUUCCGUUAAACAGGACUGCGGAGUGAGCGGAGCGGUGUGGUCUGUGUGGUGUACUAACGCCGGUUGUCACCUUGUCAGUCUCAAGAAAUUCCGACCGCUUCCACCCCGCUCGUGUACAAACGAACGAUCCCCACGAUUGUGGCCCACCGUUACCUCGCUUGAAAGCCUUUCGCAAGCGGUAGCGGACAGGUGCUAACUACAGCAACUCCAAAGACCGCACCUGUCUGAGACAUCUCUUGUUUUUUUUUGUUCUCACGUCUGAGAAGUCGGCAGGAUGCUGAUCAAGGUGAAGACACUGACCGGCAAGGAAAUUGAAAUCGACAUCGAACCCACAGACCGCGUCGAGCGCAUCAAGGAACGGGUGGAAGAGAAGGAAGGAAUUCCUCCGGCUCAACAGCGGCUCAUUUUCAGCGGCAAACAGAUGAACGAUGAAAAGACCGCGGCAGAUUACAAGGUCACCGGCGGCUCAGUUCUACACCUGGUGCUGGCACUGCGAGGCGGCAGUGUCACGGGUAGAUGGUGUCAACAGUAGAGCGAGACACUCCAUGGCAGUCCACCUCGCGAGCGAACGGCUACAGCGCUACCCAACAACACCGCUGCACACAAAGUCACGAACCGCUACUAGCUGCAGGUUUAUGGUCUCGGGUUGAACAAAAGCUGUAAGGCUCUAGGUUACAACCAAUAGCCCAAACAUUGAAACAUAACCCGAGCUGUAUACGCUUUGUGCCUUUGAAUGUGCAGCGGUUCUUUUUUUCUUUUAACAAAAAAAACUUGUCCUCAUUUGACCACCUGACAUACGCACUCGGUGAGGUGAACCGUAUUCGAUACUGUAGCCGAUGCCAUUUUAGUUUGAACCGAAUCACAAGCGGGCCUGACUUUUCUCUUGUGCCAAUAAACUGGAGAAAAAGUAAGAAAA